UACGUAGGGUGCGAGCGUUAAUCGGAAUUACUGGGCGUAAAGCGUGCGCAGGCGGUUCGUUAAGUCCGAUGUGAAAGCCCCGAGCUUAACUUGGGAAUGGCAUUGGAAACUGGCGGGCUGGAGUGUGGCAGAGGGGGGUGGAAUUCCACGUGUAGCAGUGAAAUGCGUAGAUAUCGGGAGGAACACCUGUGGCGAAAGCGGCGCACUGGACCACAACUGACGCUGAGGCGCGAAAGCUAGGGGAGCAAACAGG
rnacentral:rRNA from 1 species